AGAUUAUUUAAAGUAAAUUAUACAUUUCUUCGAACUCCGCCAAUGCCGGUCCCAAGCCCGAGAUGAAAAAGGAGGAGGGUUGUGCGUAGGGUCAGCACCCCGACCACGUAAAACAAACUACGCUACAGAAACCCAAACCACAGCAACACGACAUGAAGAUUUACGGUAUCGACCCGGGGGAGAGCGCAUGAAACAGAGAAAUCUGCGGAUAAACCUACUCUCCUCCAAGAACAUAAAGAUGUCAUGGGGAGAAGCGAAAGCCCGGGCCAUGGACCGAACCAGAUGGAGAGCUGUGGUAAAGGCCCUAUGCUCCGAACAGGGCGAAGAGGAAUAAGUAAUGUCGUCGUCACAUCGGCAUACUCUGUAGGCUCGUAGCAGUCUGGUUUCGUGGCGAAUGCCCUACACUUUUCGAGGAAAUCUAUGUCGAGAUCGGCGUAUACGAUAUCCGAUCCAGUAGCACCCUGGUUUAACGAAAUAAUUGCUUAUACAAUCUUAUGCAAUAUUCUCUUUACAUAUGCGAAUUACUGUUGUAUUUGAGAAAUAAUUGCAAAUUUUAGUUGUUUAAUAUGCGAGAAAGUCAGAA